GAGGCCCCCACCUCCUGCUGCUGCUGCCGCCGCCGCCGCCGCCGCCACUGCUUCGACUAUUCGUCCUUUGUAGAUGCUUCACGUCCGCCUUGAUUGAGGGCAAGGCUUCCGGCAGAUGACUCAGAACCGUUCAUUGCUCUGGCUUGUGCAAUCCCUGAUUCUUUGGGCCUGUGUGGAUGUCUGUGGGCACCGAAGAGAGGGCCAGUGCCUGGUCUUUGGAGGGUGGUUUUUAUAAAAAGUGUACACAUAGGCUAUUGCCCUUUUUUCACCAUUGAUUCACGUUUGACUCCACUGCAGGUAGACGUCCACCCAAACAUUCUCUGAAAUUGCUCUUGUUAAGGAUACUAAUCAUUUUCUAAUUGCAUUGCCCAAAAAAUACAUCCCAGGUCUUAUUUCAUUUUGUUUGUUGUUGACAUUUAGCCCUUUCCUCUUUGACCUUCCCAGGAUUUCCGGAGCACCCUUCCCUUCUUCCCUGACUCCUUUGCUUGGUAUCCUGAUUCCUUUCCUCCCAUUCUAAGCCCUCUUCUUUUCACUAUAAUAUGAUCUUCUUGUAUGACCUCCACUAUAUCCAUAGGUUCAUGUUUCAACUUUUAACUUCUUCAAAAUCUCUAACCUGUCUCAAGCCGUAGAUGUUACCUGUGUACUACUGGACAUCUCUCAGAAACCUGGGUGUGUCCCUCCCCAAUUCUUUUAACUAAAUGAUCAAAAGUCCUGUUAUUUCUAUCACUUUUGUGUUCCUCCCAUCCAUACUCUCUCACCUCCAUCAUGUCUCAUGUCUCACCUAAACACUUAAUUUUCCUACCUACAGUUCUGAUCCAUGCCAACCUAUUGUCUAUUCUGAAGUUCAGGUCCCUCUGGCUGCAUCAUGGGGUAUAUUAUAGGAGGGUACCAUUGCCUGCAGUGAGAGGUGUUAGGGACACAGCAUGGAUGAGAGAUGAGGAAAGCUGAAAUGAAACAGAGGCAGGAGAAAUGGAGAGGAGGGCAUGGCCUUGAGGAAUUUCCAGGACGUAAAUUUGGCAUCGCUUCUUGGACCAUGAGAGGAAGAGGGAGCAGGAAGAAUCAAAGAUGAAUCCAAGAAUGAACAAAUCUAAUUUUUGAAAUAAUGCAAUGAAAAGUGGAACUGGUCUGUUUUCCUAGGGGAGGAUGGUGAAAUAGAGGUAGUUUGUGUGAUUUGCCCAGAAUCCCAUGAAGAAUUCACAGAAGAAUUGAGACUGCAGUCGGUAUGGCCACAUUCCCAGAGAACUGCUUUUUCUGCCACACCCUGCAAUAAUAAUAUUGUCACAAGACAAUUGGACAGUGUUUCACAUAUUCAGUGAUGGAAGAAGAGUUUAAUUGAAAUAAAUAAAUGCAGGAAAAAUUAAUUCGAUUGUGAUAACACUUAAGGAAUGGAGUGUUCACUCUCUAGGAGAAGUUGGGCUAAACGAUGAAAUGGAGUGUCCCUGUAUGUGAUCUGUGGUGCUGUUUUGUUGCAGUUAAUUCCUAUUUUUAACUUGAAAUGUGUUCUGACUGGGUUAGUGCCAAUGUUUUUGAGACUGGUGUACCUAUCCUAUUGGGUACAUUCAAUUUACACAAGUACAUUCUCUUUUCAGUUCUCCCACC
rnacentral:antisense_RNA from 1 species